rnacentral:rRNA from 1 species
AUUGAACGCUGGCGGCAGGCCUAACACAUGCAAGUCGAACGAGUGGCGGACGGGUGAGUAAUGUCUGGGAAACUGCCUGAUGGAGGGGGAUCACUACUGGAAACGGUAGCUAAUACCGCAUACCAUCGGAUGUGCCCAGAUGGGAUUGGCUAGUAGGUGGGGUAAAGGCUCACCUAGGCGACGAUCCCUAGCUGGUCUGAGAGGAUGACCGGCCACACUGGAACGGAGACACGGUCAAGACUCCUAGGGGAGGAGGAAGUGGGGAAUAUUGCACAAUGGGCGCAAGCCUGAUGCAGCCAUGCCGCGUGUAUGAAGAAGGCCUUCGGGUGGUAAAGUACUUUCAGCGGGGAGGCGUUACCCGAAGAAGAAGCAACGGCUAACUCCGUGCCAGCAGCCGCGGUAAUAC